UGAUGGAUAUUCCGGGAUGCA
rnacentral:siRNA from 1 species